CUUGACCGAGCCGAGCCAUAGCGGCCGGCCCUCGGGCCGGUCCUGGCCGUACGUGGCGAUCAGGGCCUGGGCCUC
rfam:Streptomyces autolyticus strain CGMCC0516, complete genome.